rnacentral:miRNA from 1 species
UAUACAGAUUCGAGUAUGCAU